GUGUCAGCCGCCGCGGUAAUACGGGGGGGGCGAGCGUUGUUCGGAAUUACUGGGCGUAAAGGGUUUGUAGGUGGCUCGUUAAGCCACACGUGAAAUCCCUCAGCUUAACCGGGGAACUGCGUCUGAUACUGGAUGGCUAGAGUGUGGGAGAGGGAUGCGGAAUUCCAGGUGUAGCGGUGAAAUGCGUAGAUAUCUGGAGGAACACCGGUGGCGAAGGCGGCAUCCUGGACCAACACUGACACUGAGGAGCGAAAGCCAGGGGAGCAAACGGGAUUAGAUACCCCCGUAGUCC
rnacentral:rRNA from 1 species